ACUGCCGUGGUGUAGUGGUUAACACACCCGACUUGCACUUUUCGGGAGACUCAGGUUCGAUGCCUGGCGGCAGCU
rfam:Meloidogyne hapla strain VW9 Mh10g200708_Contig179, whole genome shotgun sequence.